rnacentral:rRNA from 1 species
ACGACUGCUAAGACUGGAUAGGAAACAAAAAGGCAUCUUUUUGUUUUUAAAAGACCUUCUUAGAAAGGUAUGCUUAAAGAGGGGCUUGCGCCACAUUAGUUAGUUGGUAGAGUAAAAGCCUACCAAGACGAUGAUGUGUAGCUGGACUGAGAGGUUGAACAGCCACAUUGGGACUGAGACACGGCCCAAACUCCUACGGGAGGCAGCAGUAGGGAAUUUUCGGCAAUGGAGGAAACUCUGACCGAGCAACGCCGCGUGAACGAUGAAGUAUUUCGGUAUGUAAAGUUCUUUUAUUGAAGAAGAAAAAGUAGUGGAAAAACUAUAUUGACGUUAUUCAAUGAAUAAGCCCCGGCUAACUAUGUGGCAGCAGCCGCGGUAAGACAUAGGGGGCGAGCGUUAUCCGGAAUUAUUGGGCGUAAAGGGUGCGUAGGCUGUUAGAUAAGUCUAUAAUUUAAUUUCAGUGCUUAACGCUGUCUUGUUAUAGAAACUGUCUUGACUAGAGUGAGAUAGAGGCAAGCGGAAUUCCAUGUGUAGCGGUAAAAUGUGUAAAUAUAUGGAGGAACACCAGAAGCGUAGGCGGCUUGCUGGGUCUUUACUGACGCUGAGGCACGAAAGCGUGGGUAGCAAACAGGAUUAGAUACCCUGGUAGUCCACGCCGUAAACGAUGAGUACUAAGUGUCGGGGUAAAACUCGGUACUGAAGUUAACACAUUAAGUACUCCGCCUGAGUAGUACGUACGCAAGUAUGAAACUUAAAGGAAUUGACGGGACUCCGCACAAGCGGUGGAUCAUGUUGUUUAAUUCGAAGAUACACGAAAAAUCUUACCAGGUCUUGACAUACUCUGCAAAGCUAUAGAAAUAUAGUGGAGGUUAUCAGGAAUACAGGUGGUGCAUGGUUGUCGUCAGUUCGUGUCGUGAGAUGUUAGGUUAAGUCCUAAAACGAGCGCAACCCUUGUCGUUAAUUGCCAGCACGUAAUGGUGGGGACUUUAACAAGACUGCCAAUUAAACAUUGGAGGAAGGUGAGGAUUACGUCAAAUCAUCAUGCCCCUUAUGAUCUGGGCUACAAACGUGAUACAAUGGCUGUGACAAAGAGUAGCUGAAACGCGAGUUUUUAGCCAAUCUCAAAAAAGCAGUCUCAGUUCGGAUUGAAGUCUGUAACUCGACUUCAUGAAGUUGGAAUCGCUAGUAAUCGCGAAUCAGCAUGUCGCGGUGAAUACGUUCUCGGGGUUUGUACA